AAGGUUUUUUUAAAAUUAUUAUUUUGUCAACCUGCUCCUUUUCGCCAUUCUGUCUUCUUCUAAAAUCCCCUUUUCCUCGCGGUGACGGCCGGGAUGCAUUCGAACUAACUUUCUAGAAACUUUCUGUUGAGUCUUUCUUUUUUUCCUCCUUUUUUCAUUAAAAAUAAAAAAAGGAUUUGCACACACACGCACGCACAGCCGCGCACACACACACGGCCGUGCACACCCGCUCCCCACCAGUCCGACCAGCCAGAUAUCCAAGAGCUCCAGCGAAGACAUCUGCAAAGAAAUCAACCUCUUCCAGGCAAAUUUCAAUAAGGCUCAUCCAGCUCAUCACAAUUUGCAGGAGUCACAGCCCGGCGUUUGCGACCGCACCGCUGCAAACGACUUCAUCCACCAGAUCCACCCCACAGGGCACUACCCCACUGAGUUUGUCACCUUCAAGCAUCUUCUCCAGAGCCCCUCACAACCCCUCUGGCAAGAGGUAUCAGUGCUUUGUUCAGUAGGUCCAUUUACUGACAGCGAGGAAGACUUUUCUAGAUGGCCUCCAUCAGCAUUUGCCUACUCAUUGCAAAGUGACUUGGUGGAGACCAUCCUCUGACAAAUGACUGCCAUGAAGGACAAGUAAGGUAGACCCAGGAUAUGCGUGGUGCCUCUGGGACCGGUGGGGCAAGGGACUGUCCAAGAACGGCGGGGCUCUGUGGUGUUGCACUUGACAAGGUGAUCAGAAAGAUUUUGCAAUUAGGUCUGCGCGUUUGAAGGCAAACUUACGUCCUUGUGCCCAUAAGGACCAGCUCUGCUUUUCCAGGCAGGCUGAGUACUACAGGUUCACAGAGGAAAUAACCUCAAAUGAGAACUGAAGGACCUGAUCAGCGUAAAUUUGCCCCUAAGGACACUGACUCUAAUUCAAUAAAUGUAUACAUAACCUGA